CCUACGGGUGUCAGCAGUGGGGAAUAUUGGACAAUGGGCGAAAGCCUGAUCCAGCCAUGCCGCGUGUGUGAAGAAGGCCUUCGGGUUGUAAAGCACUUUCAGUGGGGAAGAAAGCCUUGGGGCUAAUACCCUCGAGGAAGGACAUCACCCACAGAAGAAGCACCGGCUAACUCCGUGCCAGCAGCCGCGGUAAUACGGAGGGUGCGAGCGUUAAUCGGAAUUACUGGGCGUAAAGCGCGCGUAGGCGGUCUGAUAAGCCGGUUGUGAAAGCCCCGGGCUCAACCUGGGAACGGCAUCCGGAACUGUCAGGCUAGAGUGCAGGAGAGGAAGGUAGAAUUCCCGGUGUAGCGGUGAAAUGCGUAGAGAUCGGGAGGAAUACCAGUGGCGAAGGCGGCCUUCUGGACUGACACUGACGCUGAGGUGCGAAAGCGUGGGUAGCAAACAGGAUUAGAUACCCCGGUAGUC
rnacentral:rRNA from 1 species